rnacentral:rRNA from 1 species
GACGAACGCUGGCGGCGUGCUUAACACAUGCAAGUCGAACGGAAAGGCCCUGCGUUUGUGGGGUGCUCGAGUGGGGAAGGGGUGUGUAACACGCGAGUAACCUGCCCUUGACAUUGGGAUAACUUUAGGAAACUGGGGCUAAUACCGGAUAGGAGAUUUUGCUGCAUGGUGGGGGUUGGAGAGUUUCGGCGGUGUGGGAUGGUCUAGAGGCUUAUCAGCUUGAUUGUGGGGUAGUGGAGUACCAAGGCUUUGACGGGUAGGCGGCCUGGGAGGGUGACCGGCCACAUUGGGACUGAGAUACGGCCCAGACUCCUACGGGAGGCAGCAGUGGGGAAUAUUGCACAAUGGGCGGAAGCCUGAUGCAGCAACGCCGCGUGCGGGAUGACGGCCUUCGGGUUGUAAACCGCUUUCGCCUGUGACGAAGCGUGAGUGACGGUAAUGGGUAAAGAAGCACCGGCUAACUACGUG